GGGGGACCUUGUGUAUAUAAAAUUCAAACGUCAGAAGAUUUUGCCACUAGCUGAUUUUGAUAACAACCUAUUUAUGUAGAACAGUACUUUUACAAUACAUAAUACACAUGUGGUAAUUUCUGGUCAGUCAUCUAAGAUAUUGUGGUAAUCCGAAGAUUUCCUGCUGUGAUGACAAAUAAACAAGUGUUUGAAUUAAUGGUUUGCCAAUAAGCUGUUAAUUGGUUAAUGUUCUGGCUAUUUUGCUGAAGAAACUAAAAAUCUGGCGUUUGUCCUAUAACUGUUAAGUUGACUUCCUAGAUUU
rnacentral:lncRNA from 1 species